UGGGGAAUAUUGGACAAUGGGGGGAACCCUGAUCCAGCCAUGCCGCGUGUGUGAAGAAGGCCUUAUGGUUGUAAAGCACUUUAAGCGAGGAGGAGGGUACUGGUAUUAAUACUACCAGGUACUGGACGUUACUCGCAGAAUAAGCACCGGCUAACUCUGUGCCAGCAGCCGCGGUAAUACAGAGGGUGCGAGCGUUAAUCGGAAUUACUGGGCGUAAAGCGCGCGUAGGUGGUACGUUAAGUUGAAUGUGAAAGCCCCAGGCUCAACCUGGGAACAGCAUCCAAAACUGGCGAGCUAGAGGAGGGCAGAGGGUGGUGGAAUUUCCUGUGUAGCGGUGAAAUGCGUAGAUAUAGGAAGGAACACCAGUGGCGAAGGCGACCACCUGGGCUCAUACUGACACUGAGGUGCGAAAGCGUGGGGAGCAAACAGG
rnacentral:rRNA from 1 species